AUUGAACGCUGGCGGCAUGCUUUACACAUGCAAGUCGAGCGGUAACAGGCCUUCGGGUGCUGACGAGUGGCGAACGGGUGAGUAAUGCAUCGGAACGUACCCAGAGGUGGGGGAUAACGCAGCGAAAGCUGUGCUAAUACCGCAUGUGAUCUGAGGAUGAAAGCGGGGGACCGCGCAGCAAUGUUUGGCCUCGCGCCCUUGGAGCGGCCGAUGUCGGAUUAGCUAGUUGGUGGGGUAAAGGCCUACCAAGGCGACGAUCCGUAGCUGGUCUGAGAGGACGACCAGCCACACUGGGACUGAGACACGGCCCAGACUCCUACGGGAGGCAGCAGUGGGGAAUGUUGGACAAUGGGCGCAAGCCUGAUCCAGCAAUGCCGCGUGCGGGAAGAAGGCCUUCGGGUUGUAAACCGCUUUUGGCAGGAACGAAACGGUGUCCGCUAAUACCGGGCGCUAAUGACGGUACCUGCAGAAUAAGCACCGGCUAACUACGUG
rnacentral:rRNA from 1 species